UAGAGGGGGAUUUGGACACACAGAGACAUAGAAAGGAAAAGGUCACAUGAAGAAAGGGAUAGAGAGAUUGGAGUUACGCAGCCACAGGCUGAGGAACAUUCAGGGCCACCAGAAGCUGGCUGAGGCAAAGAAAGAUUCUCCUCUAGAGCUUUCAGAGGUGGGCGUGGCCCAGCUGGCACCUUGAUUUCAGACUUCUGGCCUUCAGAACUGAAAGGGAAUAAGUUUCUGUUCUUUUGAGCCUCCCAGUUUGUGGUAAUUUGUGACAGCAGUCCUGGGGAACGAAUGCAGAUGGCUUCCUCCAAGCGCCCUUCUCUGUAAGCCCUGCCCCCAUGCUCUCAGCAAACACUUCCUAAGAGCCUCUGCAUGUAAGAGAAGUCACGGGGCCACGCUCUGAAAAAGACUAAUCCCACACGGAAGUGGCCUCAAGGAGCUUCUAUCAGGGUUCUUGCCUUUGAGCAAGAAGCCCAAUCUAACCUAGCAUCAAUUUCUUCAUCUGUGAAAUGGGGAUGGCACCACCCUCCUCAGGAGACUGUUGCAAGGGUUCGUGUGAACAGGGAGUAUAAAACACUAGGGGCCACAGAGGCUCCUUCUCCUGGAGCAGCAGGCCGAACCCUCCUCCAAACCCGCAGGGGUCCUGUCCCACCAGCCUUGUCUCCUCUCUUGCUCUGCCCGGGGCAGCUGGGCUAGACAGCUCCUUAGAGGCCGCAGCUGAAAUGAACUUGGGUUCCUCCCUGCCUGGUUCUUGGCAGGACAAGAAGUGGUGUGGGUAGAGAGGUGGGGGUUUUGUGAGGAGGAGGGAGGGGCUGACGAAGGCGCAGGGAGCCCGGUGUUUAUGCAGAUACGUCCCCAGGCAGCUCCGUUCCCUGUGCUCUUGGCUUGUGUCAUGUGCUGCCUUGGAGCAACUCUAGGAGCCUUUGUCCACACUCCCCCGAGGACAGUGGUCCCCUCUUCCACCCCAAGCGGCUCCUGCAGGCCCAGCCCAGGGACUGUGGCUAUCAUGUUCCCACACCAGGACACAAUUCUACAACCACACAAAACCCUGAGCCACUCUGAACACAGGCCUUGAGAGACAUGUGAGUGCGCAGGCAUCCGAGGACAAACAAGGAGUGAAGUAUUUCAAAACCUGGUCUCUCACUAGAAACAGCCCUUCAGAGGGGCCCAAAACACACAGCCCUGUGUUUGCACUUAGCAGAGUUGGAGGCCCAGCCCGAGGCUCCUCGGCCAGGUCUUCCCUGUGUAAACAAGGGAAAAGAAAACAGCUUUGCCUGUCUGGGGCAACCUGACAAAGGGGUUUUCCGACUGGGGUUGGAGAAGAAGGGCAGCCGAAGAAGACAGCUGCCAGCUCCUCUGGGCGCUUCCUGCAAACGGUGUGGAGACCCUGGGGCUUUCUUGUGAGCUCACGUGGCACCUCGCAAGGAAUUCCCCAGUACUAAUAAUGGUUCCUGGUUCCGCGUGUGAUGUGCCAAACUCCUUCCAUGGUUUAUUCCCUUUCAUCCUGGCAGCAACCUGAUAAGGUAGGAACCCUCACCGUCCCAUUUAUAGAUGGAGAAACUGAGGUUCAGAGAGGUUCAGAUGGCAGAUUGGUAAAUGGUGGAGCCAGGUUUCAGCGCGGGUCAGCCUGAUGGCAGUACUAGCGUGUCCUUCCUCUCCCUUCCUUCUCUCCCUCCCUCCCUCCCGUGCAAGGCCACUGAGCCCAAGCCUGGUCCAGGCACUGAAGACACUGAGAGGAAUAUGAUACAGCCCCCGCCUUCGAGGAGCUCCCAGUUGACAGAGGCCAGCACUGUAGACAGGACUCCACUAAGCUGGCAACUGUGGAUCCAGCAGCACCCCGACCGCCCUGAUGUCACCUUCCUCUGGAGCCAUGCUGGAGGGCUGGAGGAAGGAGAGUCAAGGAGAUGAGAAGGUACUACAGGGAGGGGUUUGGCCCUGGGACAUAAGGGUGGGAGGGAGUGGCCAGGGUGUCAUAUCAGGGGACUUCCUGGAACCAUGGACUCGGUUAAUACUGUCCUGUGACCACUCUCAGGCUCUCAUCCAGCUUCUCUAUGCUGUCAGGCUCUACUGGGCAGGAAGGGCUGUUACCCUGCGGCCAAGGGAAACCUGUGUUUCACUGUAAGGGACCCACAUGAGAGUCCCCCAGUGAGUAGCUGCAAUAAGGCUGAUAAAGGCGUACCAGGACCAGGUCAGGGGCUUUCCAUGAACUCAGGGCCCAGGGCAGUCAUUGCUCAAGCCCAGCUCUAACCACAGCUCAGAAAGAUGACACUCAUACUCCCGCACCGUCUCCCCCACCCAAAGCCUACGGUGGAGCCUUAGAGCUGCCUUCCAGAACUCGCUGAGCUGGUAGUCCUAGCUCAGUUUUCAGCUGAGGAAACUGAAGCUCCGAGAGUUCAAACAAUUUGUCGAGCAUUACACGCUGGGGUCUGAGCCCAGGCUUGUUGGACUCCAAGCCCAGGCUUGUAACUACCACUCCAUGAGCUGUGUGGAGGUCUUAGUGCACCCCAGAGUUUCCUUCACUUUUGUCCCAAUGCGAUUAUGAGCUCUUAGAAGGCGGAGUAGUAUCUUAUUUAUUAUUUGGUUUACUUUAUUUUGGAGUCUCUGGUGGUGUAGUGGUUACGUGCUACUACGGCUACUAGCCAAAAGGUUGGCAGUUCAAAUCCACCAGGCACUCCUUGGAAACUAUAUGGGGCAGUUCUACUCUGUCUUACAGGGUCGCUAUGAGUCAGAAUCGACUCAACGGCAGCUGGUUUUUUUUUUUUUUAGGUGGUGCAAAUGGUUAAUAAGCUAGAAUCGACUCGACAGCAAUUAACAAUGAAAACAACAAUACAUGUUGUAAUAGGAACUGAUUUAAUUAACUAACUAAUUUACUUAAUCGGCAGGUAACUACUGUAUCCUAGCAGUCCCUGGAUAGUGCAAAUGGUUAACACGCCUGGCUGUUAACCGAAAGGCUGGAGGUUCAAGUCCAUCCAGAGGAUCCUCAGAAGAAGGACUUGAUGACCUAGUUCCAAAAGAUUGGCCACUACUGAGCACAGUUCCCCUCUGACACGCGUGAGGUCGCCGCGAGUUAGAGUCCACUCAAUGGCCACUACUGAGCACAGUUCCCCUCUGACACGCGUGAGGUCACCGCGAGUUAGAGUCCACUCAAUGGCCACUGCUGAGCAUAGUUCCCCUCUGACACGCGUGAGGUCGCCGCGAGUUAGAGUCCACUCAAUGGCAACUGGUUUGGGUUUCACUUUAUUUUAACCCACAGCUAUUGGGGGCUCACUUUAUGCCAGACACUGCGCUGGGCAGGGCCAGCUGUAUAAUUUGCAGAACUAGUGCAAAAUAAGAAUGCAAACCCCUUGUCCCAGAAUUUCAAGAUGGCGACAGCAGAGCAUGAACCAAGUGCAGGGCCUUUCCGAGUGCAGCCCAUGAAGCCAGAUCUGGUAGUGGGCACUAGAAGAGCGGAGAUGCAGACAACAAAACCAGACACCACUGUGGUGCCGUCUAAGCAUAGUGACCACGGUGGCACAGGGCAGGGGAAAUGCAGAGGGGGGCACUGAGUCCCUCAGGUACUUCCUUAGCAGCCCGCACUCCAUAUGCGUAGAUUCUGAACAACCGAGUGCUGAGAAGCACGUCAGUGCACAUUAUCAGGCAGCGAUGCUAUGGGGCAGGAGUUAUUUAUUUGAUAAACCAUCACAUGGUAUACUAUGUGCUGACGAUUCUCCAAUCAUUUAUAAAUAUUGAGUGCUUUGCCCUUAACAACUUUGUGAUGUACUUGUUUUAUUGUGCCCAUUUUACAGACAAGGAAGCUGAGGUUCAGAGAUGUUACAUGACCUGGAAAAGCCCCCAUGUGUAACUAUGAUUCGAUCCCACAUCUGUCUGCUUCUGAAUCUAGACGUUUUCCACCAGAGCACUGUGCACCUUCCACGUGAACACCCUCAGUGAGCCGACUGUCAGAGACCUAGGAUGAGCGGACAGUGUGCCAGACCUCUAAGGUCUCCCACCUGCUGGGAUGAGGCGUGGGGAGACUGGUAAUGUGAAGUGGCAUAGCAUUGGUGGAAAGCAGUCCGGGAGCAUCUAUUGAAAUAAAAAAAUGCAUACACCCUUCAACUCAGCAAUCUCACCCCUGGGAGUCUAGCACGUGGAGAUAAAAGCCCCAUUAGGUAAAAGGUAAGCACAGGGAUGUUUUUGGCAGCACUGUCUGAGCAAUGAAUGCACGCGCAUGCACACACACACAGAGCACAAUGAAUGCCUGUCAGUCAGGAGAAUGGUUGAAUAAACUGUGGUACAUAUGCCAAGGACUAUUACACAGCCAUGAAGAAGAAUGACUUAGAGCUGUACCAGUUAACUUGGGGUAGGGGCCAUUGGAAGGAAAAAUUGAGUUGCAGAAAAAUGCGUGUAACACGAUCAAUCCUCCUUUAGCAAGACAAUAACUAAAAUGCCCUGCUUUUAUGUUUGUGUGUAUAUAUUUGUAUGCAGAUAAACAUCUGGGAGUCCUGGGUGGCAUAGAUGGUUAAGAACUUGACUACUAGCCCAAAGGUUGAUGGUUUGAACUGACCUAGAGGUGCCUCGGAAGACAGGCCUGGUAAUCUACUUCUGAAAGGUCACAGCUUUAGAAACUCUGUGGAGCAGUUCUACUCUGCACACCGAGGGUCACCAUGAGUUGGACUCAACUCAGUGACAACCAACGACGACUACAGAUAUAAAAAAUAGAUCUGUAUUACAUGAGGACCAUGUGGGUGGGCAUAAAAACAUGGAAGGACAUGUACUAAGUUGUUAACAUAGGUUACCUGAGGAGAAGGAAGGGAUGCGAGGGGGUCACUGAGGUGGGAGUAUGGGAUAGGAAAGACAGAGAGGAAAUUAUUAAGAAAAGAAAAACCAAACAAGACAGAGACUACUCAUUUCCUGGAGGUUUUUUUUUUUUUUUAAAUGUUUAUUAUGAUGAAAUAUAUAUAACAGAACACUUGCCAUUUCGAUCGUCUUUACAUUGUACAGUUCAGUGACAUUCAUUAUGUUCACUACAUUGUUCAAACAUCCCCAUUAUCCAUUUCCAAAUUGUUUCAUCACCCUUAACAGAAACUAAGUACCCCUUUAGCAAUGUCUCCCAUUUCCCCCUACACCUGUCAGUGAUAACCACUAAUAAAAGUUGGUCUCCAUGCAUUUACCAAGGAACCCUGUUGGCACAACGGUUAAACGCUUGGCUACUAGCUGAAAGGUUGGCAGUUUGAACCCACCUAGCAGUAUCAGGGAAUGAAAGAUGUGGCAGCCGUCUUCUGUAUAGAUUACAGCCUGGGAAACCUUAUGGGGCAGUUCUACUCUGUUACCUGGGGUUGAAAUCAGUUCAGUGGCACCCAAUAACAACAUGCACUUACUUAUUCUAGAUAUUUCGUGUAAAUGGAAUCAUACAAUAUUUGUCCUUUUGUGUCUGACUUAUUUCACUGAGCAUAAUGGUUUCAAGGUUAAUGCAUGUUGUAGCAUGAAUCAUUUACUUCAUCCCUUUAUAUUGCUCAAUAAUAUUUCAUUGUAUGUAUACACCACAUUUUGCUUAUCCAUCCAUCUGUUGAUGGACGCUUCGGUUAUUUCCACCUUUGGGCUAUUGUGAAUAAUGCUGUAAUGAACAUUGGUAUACACAUGUCUGAGUCCCUGCUUUCAAGUCUUUUGGGCAUAUACCUAGGAGUGGAAUUGCUGGGUCAUACGGUAAUGCCACGUUUAACCUUUUGAGGAGCUGCCAAACUGUUUUCUACAGCUGCGGUACCAUUUUACAAUCUCACCAGCAACAGCUGAUGGUUCCAGUUUCUCCAGAUCCUCACCAACACCUGCUGUUCUCCAUUUUUUCAAUCAUAGCCAUCUUAGUGGGUAUAAGGUGACAUCUGAUUGUGGUUUUAUUUACAUUUCUCUAAUGAUUAAUGAUGCUGGGCAUCUUUUCAUGUGCUUACUGUCCAUUUGAAAGAGCCCUGGUGGUGCAGUAGUUAAGUACUUGGCUGCAAACUUAGAGGUCAGCAGUUCAAAUCCACCAGUGACUCCAUGGAAGAAAGAUGUGGCUAUCUGCUUCUGUAAAGAUUUAUGGCCUUGCAAACCCAAUGGGGCAGUUUUCCUCUGCCCUAUAGGAUCACCGUGAGUUGGAAUCGACUCAACAGCAAUAAGUUCUACUGGCCAUUUGUAUAUUCUCUCUGGUGAAUUGUCUAUUCAAGGGCUUUGUCCAUUUUUUGAUUGGGUUGCUUUUUUGUUGUUGUUGAGAUGUAAGUGUUCUUUAUUUAUUCUGUAUAUUAACGCCUUAUCAGAUAUAGGACUCUCAAAUAUUUUCUCUCGUUUUCCUCACUUUGCUGAAAAAGUCCUUUAGUGCACAAAAGGUUUUAAUUUUAGUGAAGUCCGAUUUAUCUGUUUUGUCUUUUGUUGCUGAUGCUUAUGUUUUUUUUAUGUUCUAAAAAAUCUAAAACAGACCAUCAGUCUUUUACUAUUAUAAUCUUCCUCCAGUAAAAUUCCUAGUUAUAUAAUCCAUGCUUCAGAGCCCAUACCAGCCUGGUGGUAAAAAUGGGGUCAUGACCAUACAAUAUCCAGGAAACAUCUAACUCCAGGUCCCACUAGCAAAGUUCCCAGAUCUCCUGCUCUACUUUUAAAGCCUUAUCUACCAUGCUGGGGAGUUUGUCCAACCAGUUGCCCUGUACUGCCAGUCAUUUCUUCCUUUACCUCCAAAGCCCCCAUUGUCUGUGAAAUCAAACAAGGUUCCUUCAGCACUGCCACUAUUGAGAAUAAGGACACCACGUCAUCUUCAGUCAAGGAUGAAGUGGAGCCUCUGAGGCUCCGGAAGACACUGGAGCUGUGGGGGCUCCACACACAGCUGUCCAACCUCCUCAUGGUCCCUCUUCCCAAGGUCAGUCAGGGUUCUUGGGUUGCAUGCAACAGAAAUCAAAUUUGGCUAACUUCAAAAAAAAGAGGGAGGCUUCAUGGAAGAAUGUGAGGGAGGCCACAGGAUGGAAAGAAAGAUGAGAAUUAAGCUGUGAACUGUCAAGAAGCAGGGUGAAUCCGGAGCAGCUCAAGAGCAGGGACUCUCAUCAGUCUUGUCACCCCAGCUGAACUGAGUGAACUUCACUCUUGCCUCCUUUCUUGCCUUUGCUUAAGGUUCAGAGCUCCAGGAGACAGUCUCGUUGGCAUGUGUGCAUCUUUUGGCCUAACAAAAGCAGUGAGAGGAAGGUCCCAGCAGAAGGAGUCUCUGGGCCCCCUCUGCCCUUCCCAGUGACUCUCAGGCUUCCCGUAUACACUAUAUAAACUGAGGCUGUAUACUGUGAGGAGGAGGUACUGCCCCCAAAGGAAAUCAUGGGCUGUUGGGGAAGGGGGAUAGAUGCUGGGGUCUCGAAAAGUCAAAUGCCCACUUCUCACCACCCCCCCAUUCAAAAUGACUAGGGAGAUGGGUUGGAUUGGUGUUUACCUAAGAUUCUUUUGGUUGUAAGUGACAGAAACCAACUCAAGUUAGCUUAAUCAGAAAAGGGGAUUUUCUUAUAAGGAAACUGAGCAGCUCAAAUAAUUCAAGGCCUUAGGAAGCGCCAUUCCAGGGCGAAGCUUCUCUCUUAGCCUGUCUUUCUAUUGGAGAUUGCGUGGAGUCUUGUGUCUGCUUCCGCCAGCUUGUCUGAACCUUCUUUUCUCUCGCCAGACUGUCUCUGCCCUUUAUGCUUAUGAAGCUGGAACUCUUCCAACCCACAGCUCCUGCGUUUACAUUUCCACUAUUCCAGAAAGCAAUCCAGCUGUCUGGCUGCUUCCCAGCCUCCGUUAUGAAUUUCCCAGAGAAAGAGCCUGAUUGGCUCUGCUUGGGUCAGGUGUUCACACUUGCUCCAAUCAACUGUGGCCAGCGUGACAGGGUCCUAUGGUAUAAACAUGGCUGCCCUAGAGUCUGGGGCUGGGGCGGGAGGUUUCAUCCCAGACAGUGGGGAACGAAGAGGGAAAAUGGAGGGAAAACCAUAACUGAAGUGUUGAGUCCAGGAAAUGAAGAGCAUCUCUGAAACCUCAGAAAGUUAGAAGCAAAAAUACAUGUGUCCAGUAUGGAGCUGGGGGUCAGGGGUGAAGGACAGAACGGAAAGGAGAAUAAAUUUGGGAGCAAACAGUGAGCCUUCUGUUUGGCAAUUGCUUGAAGUUAGCCAUGGUCAUUGCUACUUGUGCUGCGGAGCUGCGGGGGGCAUGAUAUGGGGCUGUGUUAGCUUGAGUUCAAGAACCACCAACAGAGCUAACAAUCAAACUGGGAACACAGUUCUUAAAAAUUAAUGUUUACUUUUUCAAAGUAGUAUAUGCACAUAGUUUAAGAAAUCGAGUAAUGCUAAAAGGCUCCAUGAGCAAAACAGCUCUCUCCUGCCCCAUGGCUCCUCAUCCCUGCCCCACUCCCCGGAGGAAAUGAUCCUCAAUUCCCGCAGCUUCUAUUAUUUAUCUCCAUGUGCUUCUAAGUAAUUUGCUAUGUGCUCCCUCCAUUAGCCAUUGACUUCUUAUUCUGGUAGUUGACAAUUUAGCUCCCUUACAGGUCCUCCCUCCCAUUUCUCCUCUUGGCAUUAUGUUAUAUCACAGUUUUGGUCUGUGUUUGUAUUAUUGUGGCUAUGAAAAUACCAUACCCCCAUGAGCCAAGUCAGGUAUUAGAGUGACAUUCCCUUCCUGUACAUUUUUUUGUUUUGCUUGAUGUGAAUAUUCCCUUUGCUUUUUCAUUUGCUCCGUCCUCUGUUCAUCAAUGGAGCUGUUGGAUGCUUACCAAUAUUAUUUUCUAAAAGAACAUACUGGAUGAUGUACAAGUGUGUCUCCAUCACCCUUCCCCGCCAUGUGGACUGGUUGCUCCCUGGGCCUCUCUGGCCUACUGCACGGUAGUCAUCUGACAUUUUACCACUUUCUUGGGUGGGAUCUUCUGUUUCCUCUAUCCCGUGUGUUCCAACUUUUUUUUGUUUGCUUUGUUUUUUCUCUUGUUUGGCUGAAGUGCACCCUCAAAAGUAACUUUCUGUGAAAACAUGCAAAGAUCUUUUGCAUGCCUGAAAAUGUAUGUAUUCCACCAUCCCCCUUGAUUUCCAACAGGUUGGGUAUUGAACUCCAUGUUGGAUAUAAUGUUCCUCUCUGCAUUUUACAGGCUUGUUUCCAUUUGCCUCUACUUCCUCAAGUUGUGGUUGGGGUCUGAUGUCAUGCCAACGUUGUAGAGGUGUGUGUGUGUGGUGAGCACCGGGGAGUGCAACUCCUCCAUACAUGGGCUUUCAACCAAGCGUGUGGCAGCCUUCAGCGCUGCACAUCACCGCGGACUUCUGCAGAUUUGGAAUCUUCACGCCCUGAGCCUCUCAGGGAUUCUUUAAGACAAAUCAGUUCACUUCCUAGUGGUCUCCUUUCUGCGAAGGCUUUUGGUUGUAGCUUUCUUCACUCCGCUUGGUCACUCAUUGACUGUCACCCCUCUGCUUCCCAGUGUCCAGGUAUUUGCUGAAAUCUCUUAUCUCCUGAUUUCACAAAUCGCUUUGGGCUUGUGAUUUUAUGUAUUUCCUGCUUUCCUGCCAAUUCAGUAAAACGUUGACAGCGAGAGAAGGUCCAGAUGUAUUGAAUCCACCGAGUUGAGCUGGACUGGAAGCCUGAUUUUUUCCUACGGUUAAAACAUACGCAUUUUCCCAUGUUACUGUACGUUUUAUAGACUUCUUUUUUAAUUGCUACAUAGUGUUUUAUAUUCCAGCAGGAAGGUGUGGAGUGAUUUACUGACUCAAUCCCUUAUUCCUGGAUGUUUAAUCUGCUUCACAUUUUUUUCACCCUAUCGAACACCUUUCUACAUACAGCUCUUCCUGAACCUUGGAGUGUUUCUUUAGAAUCUGUCCCAAGGGACGCAAGCCUUUUCAAGGUCCUGAUAUAUCUUGCCAGAUUGCUUUCUGGAAUGUUUGUACCAGUUUUACCUGUGGGCAAAAGAAAGGGACAGGUUGUCGUGGCUGCCCGCCUGGUCUUCUGUGCUGUGCAGAUCUCCCGCAGGCCGCCCCAACACUGAGUGCCGGUGACCCUAUGGAAGCUGACAAUGCAUUCAUUCCUGCUAAGAAAUGUCCACAUGCUUGUCUAGACCAGUUAAAGAAACAGUGCUCAGGAGGGAAGAAAGGAAUGUGGAUUCUUUCACUUGGUUUCCUAAUCUUACCUCUGCACGCCGGAUAAAGUAUAUUUAUUUGGGGAAAAACAUGGCUUAAGUUGGCAUCAGCCUGGAUGAUCAGUGACAGAAAACAAGAGAAUCUGGCUACUUCCCCUUGUUCCUCCAGGAACAAGCGCCAGGGCAUUUUACUGGACCAGCCAGGCCACUUUCUACAAUCUGCUUAUGAAGCCGGUGGGCCUUCAGUGCUAGAGGAGCUGGUGAGGUCCUUCAAGCAGAGCCCCAUUUUAUAGAUGAGAAGACAGACCCUAGAAAGGGAAAGGGGCUGGUCCAUAGUCACACGGCAAACCAGUGGCAGGGUCUGAACUGGAGCCCAGGGCUGUUGGUGCCACCAGACUUAGACACUUCCAUCUGAAUCAGGCUGCCACCUGGACCAUGCCUGGCAUUCGUCAGCAUCUUGCCUAUGACAAACAGGAUCUCAGGGGUGGUCCCAGGGGGUUAGGGGCUUUUACUCAGCACAGUACUCUGGAGGAGCUGUGGUAGUAGCAGUUGGAAGCCUGUUGGUGGCUUGGGUGUGCAGUGAAUGGAGGCUCUUGGCUUUCACUGAGAUUAGGGGUCUUCCUGUGGGGAGGGCAGCAGCCUUUGAAGCUAGCUUGGAUUUGGAGCAUGAAGCGUGGGUCCCAGGGUCCCCCAAAAUCCUGGCACCCCCAGGAGUUGCUGUGCAGAGCCCACUGAGCCCUCCCUCCACAGCCUCACCUUGACCCUUGCUGUUGUUGGCUACCCUUGAGUCGGCCUCCAACUCAUGAGAACCUCAUGGACAACUGGAUCCGUAUGGUUUUCACUGGCUGAUUCUUUGGAACUAGAUCACCAGGCCUUUCUUCCUAGUUCAUCUUCAUCUGGAAGCCAGGCCUUUCUUCCUAGUUCAUCUUCAUCUGGAAGCCAGGCCUUUCUUCCUCAUUCAUCUUUGUCUGGAAGCCAGGCCUUUCUUCCUUGUUCAUCUUCGUCUGGAAGCCAGGCCUUUCUUCCUAGUUCAUCUUCAUCUGGAAGCCAGGCCUUUCCUCCUAGUUCAUCUUUGUCUGGAAGAUCUGCUGAAACCUGUUCAGCCUCACAACAACGCACAAGACUCCUCCGACAUUUGAAGUGCCCUGGUGCGGAAUCCAACCUGGGUCUCCUGCACAGGAGGCGAGAAUUCCACCAGUGAACCACUGCUGCCCCCCCCCACCCCCCGCCACCACUUUGACCCUUACUCUGGGUCUUCCAGGCCUUAUGCUGGGCCCCACCAGUGUUUCUGGUGCCGACAGGUUUGACUUAGGGAUUGUCUUGUGCACGUGGGACUAGUGGCAGUUGUCCUGUAUUACCCAGAACCCAAGGGCUUCUCAGAGGCUCUAGUGUCAACUGCUGGGUGCAUAUCUGGGCUCCACACUGGUGGAUGUGCAUGACCUGGGUAUGCCAACAUCCUGGGACCCAGAUGCCACAUCAGUAAAAUGGGAGAUGUUAGGCUGAAUGUAUGAAAUUGCUGUUUUUGAUACAAAAAUGACAAAUGUCAUAUGGUUCAAUCUACUAACCGUACCUACUUUAGAGCAUUUUAAUGGUAAAAAUGAGACCAUUCAUAUCCAAUGCUUAACACCUAUCUAAAAUGUCAUCUAAAACCAAUGUUGACACUUAUUUUCUAGACUCAGGGUUUAGGCAAGGAAGAAUAAGUAGACUAACAAUUAUUGAACAUCUACUUACUAUUCAGUAGUUAUUUUACAUGUCAUAUCAUUUCAUCCUCUCAGUAAUCCCAGGGAGGAUUGGUGUGAUAGCUCCAUUUUACAGAAGAAGAAACUGAGGCACGGGAGGUUAAAUAAAUUGCUCAAAAUCACACAGCUAGUUGGUGGAAGAGCUGGGAUUAGAACCCGGAUGUUUCCAACUCUGGAGGCCAGAUGCUUUCCCUGGCAGCGUUCUGCCACUGUCAGAGUCCCACUGAAGAGGGGGCCUUGGGUGUUGGGGACUUGAGAGCCUCUCCUUCAAUUUUGAAUUAAGAAGUUUACUGUGAUUUCUUCCUGAUAAGUUCAUAAGCUUGUGCAUAGAAUGUUUUGUUCGAGUUCAUAAAACACUAUUUUAUGAAUCAUCACGUUACCCCAUGAAUGAGGGACUCGACUCCAUUUUACAGAUGAAGAAAGUGAGGCUCAGAGAGGUCAUGGGGCUUGCCUAAAGUCACACAGCAGGAAGGAAAACAGCUGGACUCUAAAACCUAUGCCGUAUGCUGGAGGAGAGCCGUGGCUUCUCUUGUACCGUGGACUGGACUGCAGCCUGGACUGUUUCACCCCGGGGUUGUGUGGUUGUUCUCCCGGUUCUGUCUGCACUUCAGCCCUUGCAGCUGCGUUUGUGGGGAGCAAUCUCAGUGCUGGAAUCAUCCUGAGUUGCAGCCUUCCGCAGCAGCCUCCCUCACCCCAACACACACACACAGACACACAGGCACACACACACACCCCAGAGCUCUGGGGGGAGGCACAGGGCCCUCCUUCCUCAAAAUAGCUCUGUGUUAUUAGCUGCAUUUAAUUGAAGGUGUUUCGAGGGCAGCCUCCACCGGGCCCAAACCAAAUGGAAAAUGACACACUGUCAAAUUAAUGUCCCCAGACCAUGAUAAAUGGCCAGGCUGGGUGAGUAAUGCCUCCAUUUCUUGUUUUAAAGGAGAAGGAUGCAGCCAGGCUCUGUGCCUCUGUCCCGGUGGUAUGGGGAAAGGUCAGGGGCAGCCUCGGACAAAUGGCAUUCCUCGCCGGCUCUCCCACCCAGGCUGGGCUUCCCAGCUUCUGCUGAGCUGUGCUUUCUCCUCCUCCUUCUGAGGUUGGCGAGAUUGCUGAGCAGCUUGUGAGUCUCCAGGCCAGUGUCCGGGGAGGAAGAAGCCGGAGAUAAGACCAAUUCUUCACCCGUCACGGUAAUUUAUCCCGUCCAGAGUGCAGUCACCUCAGUUAUCCCAUUUGAUCAGUUAGCAUUCGGAGCCUGCCCCCAGCCUCCAGCUGCACCCCCGUGCCCUGGGUUUCAGCCAUACUGAUUCCUCAAACUCUCCCCGCACGCCAGUCUCUUGUAGAGUGCAAGGCCUGAUUGCUCAGAGACUGCUCUGUGCCAGGCCCUGGGGUUGGCACUGGGGAGGCAGGAAGGGGCAAGAGUUGGUCCCUGCCCUGGGAGACACAGACAGCACUUGAUGGCUGGAGCUGGCCUGGCACCCACAGCAAGGCUGCAGCCAUCUCCUGUUGAGCACAAUUUCACAGAACAUCAACAUCAGCCAAGGCCACAAACAAGACAAAAACAAGAGCACUCGGCAAUCAUAUCUGAGCACAGACAAAAACAAGAACAUUGUCCAAACCACAAAAAUGACCAAACAUCCCUCUAUCCUGGCCGGUAUCAGUGACGACUGCUCAUUUACCAAUUGCUGCUUUAGCUUUGUUCUAGUCUUCCCUCCUGGAUAAGAUUCAUUACGAUACUCAAUCAUAGAAUUAUCCCCACUUCCUGACAACAUUCAAUCCAGAGCAGAGCUCGUUUCCUGGAACCCUUCCCCUGAAUUCCCCAAUACAAGUCCAAAUCCUGUAAGAAGUCACUUCCAGCACUCUCUUACUGAGACACUCCAUGAUUCCCAGUGGGCUCUUGUCUUAGGCUGGGUUCUCUAGAGAAGUAAAACCAGUAAAGUGUAUACAUAUACACAUAUAUAUGGAAACCCUGAUGGUGUAGUGGUUAAGAGCUACGGCUGCUAACCAAAAGAUCAGUGGUUUGAAUCUACCAGGCACUCCUUGGAAACCCUAUGGGGCAGUUCUAUUCUGUCCUAUAUGGUUGCUAUGAGUCAGAAUCAACUCGAUGGCAACGGGUUUAGUUUCUAUAUAUAUAUAUAUGUGUGUGUGUGUGUGUGUGUGUAUGUACAUAUAUAUAUAGAGAGAGAGAGAUUUAUCUCAGGGAAAUAGCUCAUGCAGUUGUAGAAGCUGGCAAGUCCCAAGUCCGUGGGUCAGGCAUUAGGUUGGAGGCUUCUCCUGACUCACGUAGCUGCAGGGACUGAUGCACCAAAGAUUGGCAGGUCAGAGAGCAGGCUGCUGGCACACAGACUGUGGAGGCUAACAAAUCCCAAGAUUGGCAGGCAAUAUGGAGGGCUGAUGGCUCGAGUUCUAAGAACGAGAGAUCAGAUGAUGAUGAGCCAGAUGCAGGACCCAGAGCCAGCAAAAGCCAGUGAGCUUUGCCAGAACAUCCAUACAUAUUGGAUGCAGGCCACAGUCCAGAUGAAACUACCCUUACAACAGAUUGGCUGAUCACAUCAAAUCACAUCAUGGAGGUGAUUACAUUAUAUCACAAAAUGGAGGAUGACUACAUCAUCACAUAACUACCAAACAACAUUAUUACAUAACUGCCAAACCACUGAGAGUCACAGCCCAGACAAGUUGACACACAAUCUUAAACAUCACAGUCAACCCUUUGUCAACUUGGCACCUGUAUAUGUCUUCUUGAACCAUAUACAUUCUCUAAAUAAAGACAGGAAACCCUGGUGGCGCAGUGGUUAAGUGCUAUGGCUGCCAGCCAAAGGGUCGGCAGUUCGAAUCUGCCAGGCGCUCCUUGGAAACUCUAUGGGGCAGUUCUACUCCGUCCUAUAGGCUCGGAAUCGACUCGAGGGCACUGGUUUUUUUUUUAAAUAAAGACAAUUAAAAAAUCAUACCCAUGCCUAACAUGACACACCUACCAUGUGUACAACUGAAAAUGCACUAGCACUCUUUAUCUCUUAUAUUUUAUAAGUGAAGACAACAAAAAUAUUUGAUGCACACAUACAAGGAAGGAACAAUUAUAGUCCUUAUUUCUGCAACUGGUCACUUGGUCGUAACUGGUAUUUAGAACUACCUUCUUCCUACCACCCAUUCCAUAUUCCGUUUGCCGUCAGCAAGCGCCUCAGCAGGUCAUGGUUCUUCGCCUGGCGGGGUGACCCAAACCUUCAUUCCUGAAGGAUCUGGGCUGUUAGCAGUCUUGUCAGAAUUGGGAUGUUGUAGUUUUCCAUUGACUUUAAUCACAGGGCAUGGUAGUACUAAGAGAUGCCUUCAGGGAUCUCCUGCAUUCCAGACAUACUUUUCUGUAAUAUCAACCUGAUUUCCCCGAGUAAUAAGGAUCAAUCAUACCAGCCAAUAUAGCAAGUCCCUUCUUUGCUUGGUGAUCCAGAGGCAUAAAAAAAUAAAAUAAAAUAAAAAAGUAAGAGGCGUAAGGAGCCCCAAAUGGCCAGGUAGCAUUCUUGACUUUCAGUUUAAUGGAAUCAGUGUCAUGUCUCUUGGUGGGAGCAUUCCUCCCUUUGGAACUAAGACUUCUGGACCUGCAGAGCAUAGGAUCGCAGGGACAGGAAGCAAAAAUCUUAUGAGUGGGUCACUAGGGGCAAGAGUAAGUGGUGCCACUCCCUUUUCCAUCCCCUGAUUUCUGGAUCCAUGAAUUCCGGUUAUGGGAGAAACAAUACCAUAUAUUGGACACUGGUUCAAGUCCCAAGAACCAGAGGUCAGAUGAUGACCAGCCAGAUGCAGGAUCCAGAGUGAGCCAAAGCCAAGUACACUUUGCCAGAAUAUCUAUAUAUUGGAUUCAGGUCACACGCCUGAGGCAACUCCCAUUAGAACUGAUUGGCUGGUCAUUUCAGAUCACAUCAUGGAGGUGAUUACAUUAUAUCACAAAACGGAGGAUGACUGCAUCAUUACAUAACUGUCAAACCACUAAGAAUCACGGACAAGCCAAGUUAACAUACAAUCUUAACCAUCACAGGUUGCAACGAGUAAUAAAUCCAACUUUGUUCAAAUAAGGUGUGUAUGUGGUGUCCUUUGGCUGCGUGGCAUUGACACACCAACCUCUGCCACAGGGCAGGGCAGAACUAUGGAAGAGCUAAAUUGCCCCACAAAGAAUCUGUUUCAAGAGCAAGGGGGCCGGAACCAUUCAGAAUGGGGAGCCUAUAUGUAGGGGAUGGUAUGGGCUAGUUAUCAAAGGAGAAAAGUUCCAGCAAGUGAGGCACAGGGGAAGGGGUGACAGGACUCUCUAGGUGAUGGGACCCCAAGCAAAAAUCCAGGGAUAGGAACAGACAUAGGACAACAUGGUGUUUUCUUCCUCCUCUCAUUACCUCUCAGUGUGGGGGAAAUUUUGCUUAUUCUUCAAGGCUCAAUGCAGAUGUCACCUCCGCUGAGCAGUCCUCCCAGACUGCCUUGUGUCUCUUCACCUCUCUGGGCCACAGUUUCCCGUUAGUAAAACACAAGGAUUUCUGUGCUUUUCAAUCUUUUCUUUAGAAAGGAAUACUACCCUUUGCUCAAAGGAGAGCUUACACAUGAGCCCAACACACACACUUAUAUCUAUAAGUGGAGCUGCUGGGGUUGAAGUGGCCAGGGACUCAGCCCACAGGUUUUCUGACAGCGCCCAAGAGGGCUUCUGGAGACUCCUAGGGCUCCUUAGGGCCAGCUGUGAGA